rnacentral:rRNA from 1 species
AUACGGAGGAUCCGAGCGUUAUCCGGAUUUAUUGGGUUUAAAGGGUGCGCAGGCGGCCAUUUAAGUCAGCGGUUAAAUCGUGGGGCUCAACCCCAUUCUGCCGUUGAUACUGGGUGGCUUGAUUGCGGUCGAGGUUGGCGGAAUUCGUUGUGUAGCGGUGAAAUGCAUAGAUAUGACGAAGAACACCGAUUGCGUAGGCAGCUGACCAGAUCGCAAAUGACGCUCAUGCACGAAAGCGCGGGGAUCGAACAGGAUUAGAUACCCUGGUAGUCCGCACAGUAGACGAUGAAUACUUGUUUUCGGCGAUAUAAUGUCGGAGGCAAAGCUAAAGCGAUAAGUAUUCCACCUGGGGAGUACGCCGGCAACGGUGAAACUCAAAUGAAUUGACGGGG